GUCCGGGUCGCUUAGUGGUCAGAGCAUCUGCCUAGCAAGCAGGAGACCCAGAUUCGAAUCCCGGCCCGGCACA
rnacentral:tRNA from 1 species